AUUAGGGCACAUUCCUACAGGACCGAAGUAACACAUUCUAGCCUACUCAACAAGCGUCAAAAGUCCUGGAAAAUGCCUAUGGAAUGAAAUCUAAAUGUUGUAUGGGAACAGACAUUAUUGACAGGGAAAGCUGCUUCCGCUGGUCUUCUAUUUGACACAUUUGGGAACUCUCUUUUCUUUUAUUCUUUCUAAGACAACGCCUUCUUCCGUCCCCAUCGAAACUUGACAAGGAAAAGUCACUGGGACAACCCAGCUGGGCAGGGAAGAAAGGAAUGGUCUCAAUGGAAGUUGUAUCACAACGCUGAUUAGACUACAACAAUAUUUUCACAACUUAUCAUGUACGUCAGUAUUGAUUAAAUGUUCGUUAUUGAAUAUAGCCUACUGUCUUGAGACUGAUCAAGGGUAAAAUCGUCUCAUAGUUCCGGGUUUGUGGAAAGUAUUCCCGAGUAUUGUAAUAACUUGAGAAACAUGGACAGCAUCGAGUUACAGCCGGUUCAAUGCCCUGUAAGCCUUGACAACAACAAUCACCAUGCUGAAAAUACCUCUAAGCAACAGAUGACUUCAGGUAAUAGACCUAUGCUGACCACCAAUGACGCAGCAGAGGAAGGAAACCCCCUGCUUUCUCCUGAACAGGUUCCUGUCGAUAAUGGCGGGCAUCAUCGGAUUGAUGGACAAGAGGUCAACCAAGAGUCGAUCUCUCUCAACGUACAGAACAGCAUCGCCAGCAAAGAAAUGGUACUAAAGCGUCACAGCUUUUCAUGUCUCUCUCAACAAAUCCAGGAUCUUUGA